rnacentral:rRNA from 1 species
UACUCAGUUCGGAUUGAAGGCUGAAAUUCGCCUUCAUGAAGCUGGAAUUGCUAGUAAUGGCAGGUCAGCAUACUGCCGUGAAUACGUUCCCGGGCCUUGUACACACCGCCCGUCACACCAUGAGAGUUGGGAAUACCCGAAGCCUGUGAGCUAACUGUAAGGAGGCAGCAGUCGAAGGUAGAAUCAAUGAUUGGGGUGAAGUCGUAACAAGGUACC